rnacentral:other from 1 species
CUAUUUCUGCUCUGUUCGAGAUGGGCUUUUAUGAUUUGAUCCUUAAUUUUAAUGAAUCGGGAGCGACCGCUUGUUUAUGGUGUGCAAGCUCACCUUAGAGUGAGAAGCCUAAAGUAUGUAAAGUUGCACCCACCUACUUAAGUAGGAUAUCAGAUUCACUAAGCCCACCCGGCAGAGCAGAUUCCC